GCAUCUGUUCAAUACUGCAGCGUCUGCAGGGCAGCAACAAAGUGAAAGCUGAGCCCUCGUCCAUCUGCUUUACUCAUCCUUCUGGUGAGAUGGAUCCUACAGCGGUUCCGAGGACCGGAGCUACCCGCUGCGGCCGGCGUUUCGGCUGGACAGGAGGAAAGAGUUUUUUWAAGUUUUUUCCCUCUACUGAACGUGUCCACGCUGGGAUUUGUCCUUAGUUUCGGCCGCUGUGGUUGUCUUUGGGACUGGAGCUGGAAAGAACCUGUCUGACAGAAACACGGAGAGCCUGGAGCAGAUCUAGAAGGGAUCUCCUGGCUGGGAAGAUCUUGGGAUCCCUCAGGUGGCUCUGAAGGGAGACAUUGGGAAGAAAGAUGGGUUUUACUCCUGGACCUGUUACUCCUGCAACCCAUCCAAAGAUAAGAAGGAAGAAAGUAAAAUACAAGAUAAAAUAAAGUUUAAAACCCUGCAGAAAUAUUGCAACAACUUUUCUAUUUCUUAAAAAAAAUCCCAAUUUUUUACAUUUUACUCAGAA